AUGGUUAUUCCUUCCAAAUUAAGUUUAGAAUCAUUAACAAAUACAGAAGACCCUAAAAGCAUCAAAAGUGACACCAAAAAAAGGCUUAUAAUUGGUCUUUUGUCCCACACCAUACCCAAAGGGAUUAGAUUAGGACACUACAAAAAAAAAUCCAGGACCAGCAAAAAACUACCCUACAUUGAAAAAACAAAAACUCUAUAUUCUAGCAUAAUCUCUGUUAAUUACACUCAAAUUUAA